rnacentral:hammerhead_ribozyme from 1 species
AUCCAGCUGACGAGUCCCAAAUAGGACGAAGAGGGACGCGUCCUGGAU